rnacentral:tRNA from 1 species
GCCUCCGUAGCUCAGCUGGAUAGAGCACCGGACUUCUAAUCCGACGGUCGCAGGUUCGAAUCCUGCCGGGGGCG